UACGUAGGGCGCAAGCGUUGUCCGGAAUUAUUGGGCGUAAAGAGCUCGUAGGCGGUUUCGUAAGUCGGAUGUGAAAACUCCAGGCUCAACUUGGAGACGCCAUUCGAUACUGCGAUGACUUGAGUCCGGUAGGGGAGUGUGGAAUUCCUGGUGUAGCGGUGAAAUGCGCAGAUAUCAGGAGGAGCACCGGCGGCGAAGGCGGCACUCUGGGCCGGUACUGACGCUGAGGAGCGAAAGCGUGGGUAGCAAACAGG
rnacentral:rRNA from 1 species